UACGGAGGGUGCAAGCGUUAAUCGGAAUUACUGGGCGUAAAGCGCGCGUAGGCGGCUGAUUAAGUCGGAUGUGAAAGCCCCGGGCUCAACCUGGGAACUGCAUACGAUACUGAUCGGCUAGAGUAUGAGAGAGGGAGGUAGAAUUCCACGUGUAGCGGUGAAAUGCGUAGAUAUGUGGAGGAAUACCGGUGGCGAAGGCGGCCUCCUGGCUUAAUACUGACGCUGAGGUGCGAAAGCGUGGGGAGCAAACAGG
rnacentral:rRNA from 1 species